AACCACCAUUCCGGGAGAGCAGAAAGAUCAGGUUCGAGAAGUGCAGGACAGAGAGACCAGCCAAUAUGUAGUAAGAGUCGGGGAUCGUGGCCCUGGAGGGCUGCAGGCCUGGACCUGGAGCAGCCAAGAUAGAAUACAGGUUUUAGAUGGCAGCAGUCCAGUUCUGUAGUGUCAGGAUACCAAACAUGAAUCAGCAGGAGUGGCAUGACCCACCAGAAACUAACAGGAUUCCUGCAAAACGGCAUGAGACAGCAGAAGCAACCGGGACCAGCCGGGACGCCAGGAGGAGUUCUCUGCUGUGUCUCUCUCAAGGAAUAGCAGACCACCAGAGCAUUGCAAGGCUGGAUAUGCAAGCACAUCUUCACCGCCCGUUGAGUCCUGUUUAUACUCUCUCCGAACAUCACGUGUCCUCCCUUGGGUCUCCACUCAGCAAAACACCAUGGCUGGAGAGAUGGCUCAGCGGUUAAGAGCACCCGACUGCUCUUCCAGAGGUCAUGAGUUCAAUUCCCAGCAACCACAUGGUGGCUCACAACCAUCUGUAAAGAGAUCUGAUGCCCUCUUCUGGUGUAUCUGAAGACAGCUACAGUGUACUUAUAUAUAAUAAAUGAAUAAAUAAAAAAAAA